CUACGGGAGGCUGCAGUGAGGAAUAUUGCACAAUGGGGGGAACCCUGAUGCAGCAACGCCGCGUGGAGGAUGACGCAUUUCGGUGUGUAAACUCCUUUUAUAUGUCAAGAAAAUGACGGUAGCAUAUGAAUAAGCACCGGCUAACUCCGUGCCAGCAGCCGCGGUAAUACGGAGGGUGCAAGCGUUACUCGGAAUCACUGGGCGUAAAGGACGCGUAGGCGGGUUGGAAAGUCAGGUGCGAAAUCCUACAGCUUAACUGUAGAACUGCACUUGAAACUUCUAAUCUAGAGUAUGGGAGGGGGAGAUGGAAUUAGUGGUGUAGGGGUAAAAUCCGUAGAUAUCACUAGGAAUACCUAAAGCGAAGGCGAUCUCCUGGAACAUUAUUGACGCUAAGGCGUGAAAGCGUGGGGAGCAAACAGGAUUAGAUACCCCGGUAGUC
rnacentral:rRNA from 1 species